rnacentral:rRNA from 1 species
GAUGAACGCUGGCGGCGUGCCUAAUACAUGCAAGUCGAGCGAACGGACGAGAAGCUUGCUUCUCUGAUGUUAGCGGCGGACGGGUGAGUAACACGUGGAUAACCUACCUAUAAGACUGGGAUAACUUCGGGAAACCGGAGCUAAUACCGGAUAAUAUUUUGAACAGCAUGGUUCAAAAGUGAAAGACGGUCUUGCUGUCACUUAUAGAUGGAUCCGCGCUGCAUUAGCUAGUUGGGAAGGUAACGGCUUACCAAGGCAACGAUGCAUAGCCGACCUUAGAGGCUGAUCGGCCACACUGGAACUGAGACACGGUCCCGACUCCUACGGGAGGCAGCAGUAGGGAAUCUUCCGCAUUGGGCGAAAGCCUGACGGAGCAACGCCGCGUGAGUGAUGAAGGUCUUCGGAUCGUAAAACUCUGUUAUUAGGGAAGAACAUAUGUGUAAGUAACUGUGCACAUCUUGACGUUACCUAAUCAGAAAGCCACGGCUAACUACGUG